rnacentral:lncRNA from 1 species
GGGAGCAGCUAUGUGAACAGAGUCCCAAGAGCUGGUGACCACUCAGGUUGUAGAUGUCCCCAGUCCUGUGCAUCACUCUGCUCUCCUGCUUAGCCUCUGUGAUGCUGCUGCCAUCCCUGGAGUAGACUUUCCUGGAAAGAGUUCUAUCAAUAUUUGGAGAAAGUGAAGGAAAUUUUUGUAUUGGGAGCCUGGGACACUGCAGCCACCACUCUUAAAGCUGCUUUGUGGUGUUAUAUCAGGGUGUAGGUGGCUCUGGUUCUGGCUCAGAGGGGACAGCACUGGCUGCUUUCAGGUGCCCAGCCCAAAAGCCCUUCAAGGGCCACUUCCCUGAUGAUCAAUGGGAAGGAUCAUGGAGCAAUGAGCAGAUGUGGAACUGUUUGAAGCCACCAUUCACAGAAAGAUUUUUCUACUAUAUGCAAAGCACUGAACAUUUUUUGGAGGAGCAUUUAUUCAGGAUGAUAGUUCUUCAUUGGUCCUGUCACUCGUGUAACCCCAGCGUGGCGUCCAUAAUCAUUUUGGUAGGAGGAAAAGCCCAGGUGUCCUCUGGUGUGAUGUUUGGUACUGUCAUCAUCCCAGAACAUCAGACUACAGUGCACAGCUUCCUUGUGGUGCUUCAACACCUGCCAGGUGGGCUGUGGUUCCUUUACUGUUUCAUCUUGUUCUUAAGCUUCUGGCUUCUUUUGAGCCGUCAGUGGUUCCCAGGUUGAACCUCUUAGGCACCCAUUAUAGGAGUAUUCAGCCUCUGAUUACAUGAGGACAUUUAAAAAAUCUUUCAUGAGAAAAGUACAAAAAGAAACUCAUAUACAUGUGUAUACAUGCUUUACUGAGCACUCAGACUACCAGCAAUGAACCCAGGAGAGAAGGUGAUGACCUUGGUGUUAUGUGCCUCACCACCUCAAUAAAGUUGAAGUGGUUACAGAUGUUCCUUGAGGUACAAAGUGGAAAUAUCUGAGCAAACCAAAAAAUUGAAAUAUAAUGAAUAUGCAUUUAAUAUACUACAUCUAAUGAACAUAAUAUUGAUGCCCUUGCUAUAUUAACAUGCUUAUCAUGCUUCUAUUGAC